rnacentral:tRNA from 1 species
GGGGUUGUGGCUCAGUGGUAGAGUGCUCAUCUAGUAGGUGUGAGGCACUGGGUUCGAUUCUCAGCACCACA